GUUAAUUUUACGGCGGCUCAUUUAUUUUGCCUUAGAAAUAAACAUAAUUGACAAGUUUCUUUCCCCUGCAUUCUCGAUCCCACAUGUAAAUAGCACGGUGAUUUCAAAUAAGACAUUGAUACAUUACAACACUUGCCGUCAGUAUUUGAAUAUAUUGAUUAAGAAGGUUGUCAGCAAGAUGAAAAGGACAAGUAUGCAGUUCAAAAUUCAAAAUGUGGAUAAGCUGAGGUUCAAGGUCUUACCUUUGCAGAUUUUCAUAUUUUGCAUGAAUGAAUUCAAAGGUUAUAUGAUGGACGGCAGAGAAAGAAAAAAACAACUUUUCAAUUAUCCUGCUCCUGGAUAAAUGUAAAACAUCUUGUUUUUUGGACAAGAACUAUAGAAGAUACAGAGAAAUUAUAAACAGCAAUUUAAAAUUUGCAGAAGCAAACUAAACCUAAAUGGUGAUCAGACAUCUUGGUUUUCAUGAUCAAUAGGUCAUUACUGAAGAGGAAACUUAAAGUUUAAAUUUAUUUACAAAGUGCAUAAUUGGAUUAAUUUGAACUGGAAUGUGUGCUUUCCUGCAAAAAAGAAACAGGAAAUUUCAUCAUUAUCACAUGAUAAUGCCCAUAAACAAAAUGGAGUUCUAUCAUAGAUACACAAAAACACUAUUGCAUAAAAGCAACAACAUAUUAUAUAUAUAUUAAUCGAAAGAAAGGAGAAUGCAGAACAAAUACUAUUUUGUUGUUGAAAAAGGAACACCAGUUUUAUCCACUCAUUUACAUCGCUCCCUCAUAUCGAAUAUACGGAAGAAGAUCUUGAAGAACAAUUUGCAAAAAUGUUUUCUCUUAGAAUUGAAGGAAAAUGUUAAGUGAAUGGAAUAAUGUAUUCACUGAAUUCUUACGUAGUGGAUUGAAUAACUGUACACAAGUUGAAACAGAAGAAAAUUUUAAUUUAAAAUAACACGAAAAGUGUUUAUUGUAUUAUUUAAUCUGCAAACAUAUUAACAAAUUCUUUAGAACACCACAAAUGGUAUGACAUUCAAAUUGGUUGCUUAUUAAUGUAUUGCAUUGAAACAAUUACAAAGAAAACAGAAUCAUUUGC